rnacentral:rRNA from 1 species
UACGUAGGGUGCAAGCGUUAAUCGGAAUUACUGGGCGUAAAGCGUGCGCAGGCGGUGAUGUAAGACAGAUGUGAAAUCCCCGGGCUCAACCUGGGACCUGCAUUUGUGACUGCAUCGCUAGAGUACGGUAGAGGGGGAUGGAAUUCCGCGUGUAGCAGUGAAAUGCGUAGAUAUGCGGAGGAACACCGAUGGCGAAGGCAAUCCCUGGACCUGUACUGACGCUCAUGCACGAAAGCGUGGGAGCAAACAGG